AACGAACGCUGGCGGCAGGCUUAACACAUGCAAGUCGAACGAGAUCUUCGGAUCUAGUGGCAGACGGGUGAGGAACACGUGGGAACAUCCCUUUCAGUUCGGAAUAACGUUGGGAAACUAACGCUAAUACCGGAUACGUCCUUCGGGAGAAAGAUUUAUCGCUGAAAGAUUGGCCCGCGUCUGAUUAGCUAGUUGGUGAGGUAAUGGCUCACCAAGGCUACGAUCAGUAGCGGAUCUGAGAGGAUGAUCAGCCACAUUGGGACUGAGACACGGCCCAAACUCCUACGGGAGGCAGCAGUGGGGAAUAUUGGACAAUGGGCGCAAGCCUGAUCCAGCCAUGCCGCGUGAGUGAUGAAGGCCUUCGGGUUGUAAAGCUCUUUUAUCCGGGAAGAUAAUGACUGUACCGGAAGAAUAAGCCCCGGCAAACUUCGUGCCAGCCGCCGCAGUAA
rnacentral:rRNA from 1 species